rnacentral:lncRNA from 1 species
UAAAGCUCCUCAUACGCAAAAGUAUUUCAAGAUUUUAAUUACUACAGAUGUGAGGUAUAUCAUAACACAAACAGGAAAUAGCAUAGAGAUCUCAUAUGAUAGAAACUGAAUCAAAUAAAUGGUUUCCUUCCUCCAUUAAAAUUAACCCCUUUUGAUCAUUUUAACAUUUCCUUCUCUUCUGGUCACAACCGUUCAUACAAAUCGU